rnacentral:rRNA from 1 species
GACAUAGGUGGCGAACGUUAUCCGGAAUUAUUGGGCGUAAAGGAUGCGUAGAUGGUAAAAUAAGUUAUUGGUCGAUGCCAAACUCAAUUUGGCGGAAGCUGGUAAUACUGUUCAGCUAGAGGGCAGGAGAGGUUGAUGGAAUUCUGUGUGGAGCGGUGAAAUGCGUUGAUCUGCAGAGGAACACCAAAAAAGGCGAAGGCAGUCAACUAUUCUGUUCCUGACAUUGAGGCAUGAAAGCGUGGGGAGCAAACCGG